CCUACGGGUGGCAGCAGUGGGGAAUAUUGGUCAAUGGAGGAAAGUCUGACCCAGCAACGCCGCGUGAAGGAUGAAGGUCUUCGGAUUGUAAAGUUCUUUUCUAAGGGAAGCAUAAAGUGACGGUACCUUAGGCAUAAGCCUCGCCUAACUAGCUGCCAGCAGCAGCGGUAAUACGUAGGAGGCGAGCGUUCUCCGGAAGGACUGGGCGUAAAGGGUGCGUGGGUGGUUUGGCAAGUUAGUAGGGUAACUCCAAGGCUCAACCUUGGAACUACUAUUAAAACUGUUGGGCUUGAGUGCAGGAGGGGCAACCGGAAUUCCUGGUGUAGCGGUGGAAUGCGUAGAUAUUAGGAGGAACACCGGUGGCGAAGGCGGGUAGCUAGACUGUAACUGACACUGAGGCACGAAAGCGUGGGGAGCAAACAGGAUUAGAUACCCUAGUAGUC
rnacentral:rRNA from 1 species